rnacentral:rRNA from 1 species
UUUCCUGGCGGCCAUAGCGAGCGGGUCCCACCUGAUCCCAUUCCGAACUCAGAAGUGAAAAUGCUCAGCGCCGAUGAUAGUAUGGUUUAUUUCCAUGUGAAAGUAGGUCACUGCCAGGAUU